rnacentral:rRNA from 1 species
GUGGGGAAUAUUGGACAAUGGGCGAAAGCCUGAUCCAGCCAUGCCGCGUGUGUGAAGAAGGUCUUCGGAUUGUAAAGCACUUUAAGUUGGGAGGAAGGGCAGUAAGUUAAUACCUUGCUGUUUUGGCGUUACCGACAGAAUAAGCACCGGCUAACUUCGUGCCAGCAGCCGCGGUAAUACGAAGGGUGCAAGCGUUAAUCGGAAUUACUGGGCGUAAAGCGCGCGUAGGUGGUUUUGUAAGUUGGAGGUGAAAUCCCCGGGCUCAACCUGGGAACUGCCUCCAAAACUGAAUGACUAGAGUACGGUAGAGGGUAGUGGAAUUUCCUGUGUAGCGGUGAAAUGCGUAGAUAUAGGAAGGAACACCAGUGGCGAAGGCGACUACCUGGACUGAUACUGACACUGAGGUGCGAAAGCGUGGGGAGCAAACAGGAUUAGAAACCCUAGUAGUCC